AGUCGCUGAGCAUAGCACGAGAUGAUAAUCAAAGUCUUGUGCGUGUGACAGCGGCUAU
rnacentral:pre_miRNA from 1 species